rnacentral:lncRNA from 1 species
ACUAAUGAACCUUGUGGCUUCCUUCCCAUCCGACUUCUGGGCUGGCCUGAGCUGAGGGAGCCUAAUGCCUGAGUAGCAGGAGUCCAGAAAAUGUCUCUCCUUGGCUUUGAGGCUGGUGAUAGGGAUUGCAUCCCCCAGCAGAUUCACAUUUCCUAAUGAGGUCUGACUCCCCCGAUACCGACAGGGGACUGCUUUCCCCAUGCCUGUGCUGCGUGGUUGGUGAUGGGGGGGUGAGGCGGGUGGUCAGGGCUGGAGUGAGGUUGUCCUGGCUCAUCCCCCACCAUGACCGGGAGUUGCCAUCUCUCCCGGCCCAGCACACACCGGGACUGGGCAAAGUCCACCCUGUGAGCGUGUGUUGGGGGAGAUUGUUGAUAUCCACAGCCCUGCAUGUUUGAGACAUGAUGACAUCCACCUCCACCUUCAGGGUGAGGAACUGUUGGCCUGUCUGUGUCUGUCUGUCCUCUGCACCCAUCUCCCCAAGACGUAGAAGGCAGCCCCAGGGACUCUUCCCAGGAUGGCCCUGAGUGAGCUCCUUCUCCCCUCUCUGCCCAGGAAAUGAACGCCCUGCGAGGCCAGGUGGGUGGUGAGAUCAACGUGGAGAUGGACGCCGCCCCCGGUGUGGACCUGGGCCGCAUCCUGAAUGAGAUGCGCGACCAGUACGAGAAGAUCACGGAGAAGAACCGCAAGGACGCUGAGGACUGGUUCUUCAGCAAGACGGAGGAGCUGAACCGCGAGGUGGCCACCAACACCGAGGCCCUGCCGAGCAGCCGGACGGAGAUCGCGGAGCCACGCCGCACCGUGCAGAACCUGGAGAUCGAGCUGCAGUCCCAGCUCAGCACGAAAGCGUCACUGGAGGGCAGCCUGGCAGAGACCGAGGUGCGCUAGGGGGUCCAGCUGGCCCAGCUGCAGGGGCUCAUCAGCAGCAUUGAGCAGCAGCUGUGCUAGCUCUGCUGUGACAUGGGCUGCAGAACCAGGAGUACAAGAUGCUGCUGGACGUGAAGACGCGGCUGGAGCAGGAGAUCGCCACCUACCGCCGCCUGCUGGAGGGCGAGGUUGCCCACCUGGCCACCCAGUACUCCUCGUCCCUGGUCUCUCAGCCCACCCGGGAAGGUGCGUACCAUCAUGGAGGAAGUCCAGGACGGCAAGGCGGUCCCCUCCCGUGAGCAGGUCCAUCACUCCCCCCACUGAGGCCCCGUCUACCUGCGACAGCCCAGCCUCCAGGGUCAAGGGGCAGCCAUUGCCUGCAGCUCCCAGCACGCUACUGCUGCGCCCCGAGUGCCCGUCUGGGCCACCGCCCAAGAGUGGUUGCCUUUCUGUAUCUGCUUCCCACAGCCCCUCACCAAGGGGACCUCCUGAGUUUGCUCCAGUGACUGCAAUUAAAGCUUUGCUUGAAGUUCAAUGCCU